GAGAGUGUAGCUCAGUGGUACAGCGCUUGCUCGGUGUGCAGGAAGCCCUGGGUUCAAUCCCUAGUUCUUCA
rnacentral:tRNA from 1 species